CUAGCGGUUUGUUCUAUUGUGUUUUGUGUAGUUCAGUGUCCACUUGGGCGGAACUCAAGUUUUACAUUUGGCAUGUUAGACAUGUCAAGUAAUGCACAGGUAUAAUGCGCUGUUCUGCCUUCACUGCUGUUUGCUUUCUUUAUCUUUGUGGUUUUCGAUCAGGGGUUGUCUGUACUUUACCUCAUGUAGAAGAGUUUGAUGUGGUGAGACCUCAAAGACUGAGUGUCUCUGUCAGGAGCCUCUUCAAACAGGUCCAGUCUAAUAAAAGAUCCCAAAACCAAGAGUUAUUUCCUGAUCAACUUGCGUAUUUUUUAUUCUUUGGAGGGAGAAAUCACAGGAUUCGAUUGGAGAAGAACAGUCAACUCAUUGCCCAAAACUAUACUGAAAUCUACUAUCAAGAUGAUGGAUCUAUUGUAAGCAGCAAGCCAAAUUUAAAGGACAAUUGUUAUUAUCAUGGCCACAUUGAUGACGUGGUGGACUCCUCAGUCAGUGUGGAAAUCUGUUCUGGGAUCAGAGGUUUUAUUAGGGUCAAACAGCAAAUGUACCUGAUUGAGCCUCUGACCAAUCACAGCGAUGGAGAUCAUGCCAUCUAUAAGCAGGAACAUCUAAAGAUGAAAAGAAAAAAGAGAAGCACUUCUUCUGAAUCAAAAAUCACCUUUUACGACCACGAACCGCCAGUGUUUGCCUCUUUAAAGUACAACAGAUGGAAAAGGAAACGUUUUCACACCCCAAGAUUUGUGGAAUUGUUUCUGGUGGUGGAUAAUCAGGAGUAUACAAACUAUGGGUCAAAUAUGGACACUAUCAGAAAAAGAAUGCUAGAGGUUGGAAAUCACAUUGACAAGUUGUAUCGACCUUUAAAUAUCCGGGUUCUGCUGGUGGGUUUAGAGGUUUGGAACACACACGAUCAGAUUGUUGUCAGUGUGAGUUCAGAUGAAACUCUCAGUCGGUUUAUCGAGUGGAGAAAAAAAAGUUUGCUUACACGGGUCAAAUAUGACAACACUCAGUUUGUGACUGGAAUUGAUUUUUUGGGUGACACAGUCGGUUACGCAGACAAAUUUGCAAUGUGCACUGAAAACUCAGCAGGUAUCAACCAGGAUCAUAACCAAAACCCACUGGGAUUAGCAUCCACUAUUGCACAUGAGAUGGGCCACAACAUGGGUAUGUCCCAUGAUACAGAUGAUUGCACAUGUGACUCUACCAACUCCAUCUGUAUCAUGACAGAGCGUGUUGGCAACCUGUUUCCGGACCGGUUUAGUGACUGCAGUCUGGAGCAGCUCAGUAUGUUUCUGGAUAACGCCAACCCAAGUUGCCUGCUGGACAUUCCCAGCUCAGACAAACUUUAUAGCGGGCCAGCGUGCGGCAAUGCUUUCUUGGACCCGGGAGAGGAAUGUGACUGUGGAAACGUGGAGGAAUGUGAAAAUCUGUGCUGUAAUGCCACAACCUGCAGGCUCACUGACGGCUCACAGUGCGCUCAAGGAGACUGCUGUGAGAAUUGCAAGAUUAAAGAUGCUGAGAGUUUGUGCCGUGAGCCUGCAAACGAGUGUGAUCUUGCAGAGUACUGCACAGGACUGUCAGAGCAUUGCCCGGAAAAUGAGUUUAACAUGAAUGGCAUUCCCUGCAAUUUUCAUCAGGGUUACUGUUACAAUGGUCGAUGUCCCUCUCACCUCCAGCAUUGCCAAAGUCUUUGGGGAGCAGAGGCCGUAAAGGCACCUGAUGCAUGUUUUGUCCGAAACACAUUCGGCAAAAAUGAUUCUCACUGCGGAAAGACAGAAAAUGGUUACAGAGCCUGUACCAAAGAAAACAUGUUUUGUGGAAAGAUAUUUUGCUACGGAGGAAACGAAUACCCUGUUACAGGUAGGAAAGCUAUCAUCAAAACCUUUACAGGGGUAACAUGUAACAUAGCUGGAGACUGGACAGAGGAAGACACCCUCAGCAUGGUGCCUACUGGAACAAAAUGUGGAGACAACAAGGUUUGCUAUGAUUUUAUGUGCCAAGACCUGAAUGUUUAUGGCAGGAAUGAAAACUGUUCGCUGAAAUGCAAUGGAAGAGGGAUUUGUAAUCAUAAGAAGCAAUGCCACUGUAACCCUGGUUGGGCGCCACCAUACUGCGAUGUGAAAUAUUCUGAAUUGGCACACAGUUUAGAACGGGUAAGGGUGGUUGGCAUCUGUGUUGCUGCUGCAUUCAUUUUUCUCUUGCUGGUAUUUGGAGUUUUUGGAGUGUAUUAUUAUAAAAGGAGAAAAGCCAUCAGUCACAAGACCAAAGAGUUAUCAUCAGGACAGCUGACUCUUCUUCAUAAAAGCAGCGCUGUCAGGAGGAACCCCACCGAAAUCAGCCAACCCAUAUUCAUGGAAAGCUCUGUGACUCGACCCUGCACCCCAAUAACUGCUAGAACGACUCCGACACGUCCUGCCCCUCCACCUCCUAAAAAGCCUGUAACCCAGCCACGGCAGACCCUAGUAACCCAGGGCAUCAAGUCAACCCCUCCACCUGUUCCUCCACUGAAACCAUCUCUAGCAAAAGGAUCCUUUAAGACAGAUCAAAUGGACACAGGAGACGCAGUGAAGGUGGCGUUACGACCUCCCACCAUCCCAAGAAGAUGAGCCGGAGUGAAAUCAUCGCGUGAUUCAUUUGAACAGAUUACAGUCCUUCAGUGUUAAAGUCUGUGGGGAGCUGAAUCACAAAGUGCGUUUUAAGCCCAGCCCUAUAAAACACAUACACACUGUUUGUUUAAGCUUGGACUGUGAGCUGCCGUUGACAAUGCUUUAAAAAUGCUUGAAUUCAUGUCUGAUACAUGGAAAAUAUUUAUAAUAUUUUUAUUUUUAUUUAUUAUAAUGUUUUAUUAUUACAAAUCUGGACAUGUGAUUAGGAAUAUAUUCAAAAGACCAAACUGCUUUAUGAGUUACAGACUAUUCUUUAGAUAUGUACAUAUUUAAAUCUUAAUAAAGGUGAUUUUUUUAUUCCUUAAAUAAAAUAAUAAAAGUUUUAAAUGACAAUUCUUACACUCCCAAAAUAAAUGUACAAAAGUUGUCAAUUAACACGUCAAGAUUUUAUUAUUCAAUAUAUUUCUAAAGGUGCUAUUGACAUGAAUUUUUUACCACGUUGAUAACAACCCAUGCAAAGAAAUCAGGCAAAAUGAUAUAGAAAACCAAGGCAGUCAGAAAGCAAUCCUGCCCCCUGUCAGUGCAAAUAAUAACAGCUGGUUCAGUCCCAACUGAUAGCUUAUAAAGUAGUGUCUCAUUACCAAGGUGUCAUGCAAGAAACAUCUCAUGAUGGGUAAACCCUGACCCAAACACAGUCAGGGAAACUCUCAAUUGGUUUCAGAGAAAGUAAAGCUCCUAGAAUGGCCAAGCCAAUAUCCUGACUUGAAUUAAAAUCUAUGGAAAGACCUAAAGGUCAGAGUUCAUAGAAGAGGACCAAAGAGCUUUCAAGAAGUGAAAACUGUUUGUGUGGAAGGAUUAAAGGGUUAAAAUCACACCUGAGCAAUGCAUGCAACUAGUUUCUCCAUACAUGAGGCAUCUUAAGGCUUUCAUUACCAACCAAGGCUUUUGUACAAAGUAAUAAAUACAUUUCAGUAAGCAUAUUCAAUACCUUUUUUAAAUCUUUACACAUAAUGUUUGGAAAUCUGUGGUUUAAUUUCUUUGGAUUGCAUUGGUUAUUACAAACAUAUGGCGAAUAUUUCAUACACUCUAAAAACCGUUGGGUUAUUUGUUUUACCCAAUAGGUGGGUUAAACGUAUUGGGUUGUUCUGUUGGGUUAUUCCUAGCUUGUAUUGGGUUAUUUCCAUAACAACCCAGAGAGUUGGGUUAAAAUCGGGCUCACGUCACGCAUUUUGAAUUUCAACGGUUGACCGGUGCCACUGCUGAGUGCGGACAGACACGAGAGACAUUCUUGGAGAUGUUGCAUUAAAAACCUUACAAAAUGGCCAGCAAGAUGGUUCAGCCUUCCUACAGUACCAAGAGGCAAAGCAAACAUUUAUUAAUUUGCAACCUGUAAG